rnacentral:misc_RNA from 1 species
CCGAAAUUUAAAACUCACAACGCGAGUCUCGUGCGGAAGCAAAUAUGACUGCCGAGACUUUGUGACUCUUCAAGUCUUCCUUUGCUCAAGUCAAACCACACUCGUGAAGCACAUGUGACGAGUCUGUGGUGAGCAUCGGGAGCACUGCGUUUCCUUCGGGAUUCACAGUCUAAAAAACGAAUUGUAAAAGUAUAUACGAUUAGUAUAUAACAAAAAAAGACGAAAAAAU